rnacentral:rRNA from 1 species
CCUACGGGAGGCAGCAGUGAGGAAUAUUGGUCAAUGGGCGCGAGCCUGAACCAGCCAAGUAGCGUGAAGGAUGACGGCCCUACGGGUUGUAAACUGCUUUUAUAAAGGAAUAAAGUGAGGCACGUGUGCCUUUUUGUAUGUACGUUAUGAAUAAGGAUCGGCUAACGCCGUGCCAGCAGCCGCGGUAAUACGGAGGAUCCGAGCGUUAUCCGGAUUGAUUGGGGUGAACGGGAGCGUAGAGGGGUUGUUAAGUCAGUUGUGAAAGGUUGCGGCUCAACCGUAAAAUUGCCAUUGAUACUGGCAGUCUUGCUUACAGUUGAGGUAGGCGGCAUUCGUUGUGUAGCGGUUAUAUGCUUAGAUAUCACG